rnacentral:rRNA from 1 species
AUGAUAGCAGCAACUACAGAGCACAAGAAUUUGUUGCUGAUUGUAGACCAUGGAGAGACACUUAACAGAGUUAUGAGAGAUGACAUUAUGCUAAAUGAUAAAAAUAUCCAAGAUGAGGAAAGAAGUGUGCCAAAUGAUAGGAGGGGAAGGAGGUUAUUUGGGGAAGGAUCAUCAUCAGGUUGUGGUGAUGAAGAAAUAGAGGAGGAAGAUGGAGUAGACGCAACAACAGCAGAUUCAGAGACUGAUGAGGAUUUCUAUGAUAGUGACUUUGAUAUAGAGAUGGGGACGAUGAUUUGUUCGAGACAAACAUAG